rnacentral:rRNA from 1 species
GAUGAACGCUGACAGAAUGCUUAACAUAUGCAAGUCUUUGGCGAAGCUGUGCUUGCACAGCCUAGCCAAGGCGGACGGGUGAGUAACGCGUAAGGAACUUGCCCUGCAGUCAGGGAUAACAGACGGAAACGACUGAUAAAACCUGGUAAAGUCAGGCGGACUCAUGUCCAGCCUGAUGAAAAGAGAUGCUGCAGGAGAGCCUUGCGUCCUAUUAGCUUGUUGGUGGGGUAACGGCCCACCAAGGCGAUGAUAGGUAGCCGGCCUGAGAGGGUGGACGGCCACAAGGGGACGGAGAUACGGCCCUUACUCCUACGGGAGGCAGCAGUGGGGAAUAUUGGACAAUGGGGGCAACCCUGAUCCAGCAAUUCUGUGUGCACGAUGAAGGUUUUCGGAUUGUAAAGUGCUUGCAGCAGGGAAGAAAAAAAUGACGGUACCUGCAGAAGAAGCGACGGCUAAAUACGU